ensembl:lncRNA
AUUUCCAUGCUCUUGAGACUUCCUUUGAAUUAUCCAGAGAUCCCGGGGCUUAUGUGGUCCCAAGGGCUGCCAUCCUACUCCAAACAUCAGGCAAAGAGAAGGAGAGCAUAGAUGCGGGAGUCAGGCUCGCUCUCUGUAGAUGGAUGUGUUUGUUGCUGGGAAUGCCUCUCCUGGUCUGGGUACUGGACCACUGCCCUCAGGUCUGUAACCUUCGUGGUUCACAGUGGUUGCUCGACACUAAAGGGGGUCCUGAGGUGGCUCCCAGGUAGGCUGUUCCAGCUUCGCCUACACCGUCCGUGGGCUUGAGCCCUUCCAGGGUCGUAAAUCCAUUCGCCCUCAAGGCGUCUUCCACCAUGAGUAUGUUGCCUUGCCUUAGAACCGUGGGUAGGAAGAGCCUUCUCAGGGCUUGUCUCUUGAAGACAGGCCAGAUGCUCUGGGUCAUCUACAGGGCCCCGGCCUCCCCUUGUGUCCAGGGAACGUGAGGUCCUCUCAGUGUGUCACAGAGGUUUGCUGUCUCCCACUUGCUACAGCAACCUGGUGCCUUAAUUUCAUGGACGUUACCUCACCACAUCUUUUUAUACUAACAAUCAAAACUAAACGCAUUAUCACAAUGAGAAGAUAAUUUGGGGCUAAAAAAUUAGCAAAGGUUGAAAAGCUGUGGGAAAGUAGAUGCCCUCAUGUAUUGUUUGUGGGGAUGUACAUUGUCACGAUAGUUUUGGGGGCAACUUGUCAGCCUGGACACAAAAUCUUAGCAACGUGGACCCUUUGAGUGUUCAGUUUCUCUUUUUGGAAUUCAUCCAAUAAGAGGUCACGUUCACAAAAACUGAAAAGUAAGCAUCAUCAUUACAGAAAAGGCAAAAAGGAAGUAACAGCCUUGAAGGGCUGUCGGGGGGAGACUGGUCAGGCAAGUCCUGUGGACUAGCAGGCGCCCAUGAAUGACGGUGAGCUGGUCCAUGUCUGUGUUUACAUUUAGCAACAUCCCGAGCAUAGCACUGCUUGGCAGAAGGAGGUGAUGAAUCUCAGGGAGCCUGUCCUACUUCUGCAGCAAAACUACACACAGAGAUGGGACCAGAGAGGGAGGUAUGGGGACAGCAAGAAGCCAGUAUGCUGUUAGACAGGAACUCCUCUCCAUUGUGGAAUUACUGGUGGUUUCAUGUGUUUAUGGCACUUUAAAAACUGACUUCACAUUUUUUAACAAAGAUUACUUAUAAUUUUUCAUUGCCACUUGUGUGGUUGAGGUUCCUUAUUGCUUGCCCCAGAGAAAAUUUUAUGGACUCUUGCAAUUGAAUUUUCAUGAAACCUCCUGAGGUGGGCACCACUGCGAUCCCACCUAUAAAUAAAGUAAAGUGAAUUGGAGUGAUUUUCGAAGUUCAUAAAACUAGUGACCCCUGCAGCUAGGAUUUGAUGUGACCCUCUUGUCUACCCACAAAUUAUCCUUCAUAAUAAAAAAGUGGGAUGAUGACUAUACAUGUAUGCAUGCAUGUAUAUAUUUAAAAAGAAGAAGAAAGUUAUUCUCUCAUCUUCAUGAGUAUUGGACAGUAUUUAACCUCUUUAUUCAUAACAUUUUGAAAAUAAACACAUGCAGAGUGAAGCAAGGGGUUGCUGGGUUGUUCGCUUUUUGUUUUCCCUUCCUAGUGGCAGUCAAACAUGUCAGAGUUAAUUCUCUGGUUAUUAAAGAUACAAUCAAACUGAACAGUCUUCCCUUAUAAGGAGUAAGCAACUCAUUUCUCUGUUUUCUUGCUCACAGAAACUGUCUUUCCAAAUAUACUGGUGAACGCAUUAAAAAAAGGACUUGCUACCCUUAUGCCUGAGUGGGUAUAGGCUGCCUGUAUUGGGAAGGCAGGAGAGGCUGGGAUGAAGGCCCUGUGGUCCCUGGGUCCCCCAGGUCCUGCCCAAAGGGAAGCGUGAAUUUGCUCUUCCGCAGAGUGUUUACGGUUGCUGCCAUGACUACAAAGAUAAAUAAAUAAAGAAGGCAAUGAUGAAAAACAAAUAAAAAAGCUUUGUGAUGGUGUAGAUUAUUGCUCUAUUUGCCUUGGAGGCUAAACAUAUUGCCAAAAAAUAUAGGUGUUCAGAGAAGAGUAAAAAUCCUCCAAAUUCUUCGAAUUUUGUCUUUAAAUGUUUAAGCACUGAGAAACAGAGUAUUUCCUGCCAUCUCAGUGAACAAGGAUGUCACAGUCCUCAGAGAUUCCAGCUCUCCAAGGCACCCAGGAAGGAGAAGACCUCAGUCACCUGCAGCCGUCAGCCUGUAUGUAGCCGUUCCCCACGGGGAGCACCGAGGAGCUCAGGGUGUGAAAAGCACAGGACACUGGCCCUAGAUGCAGGAGUGAUUUCAGUGAACCCGGACUCUUGCAUCUUCCCGUAAACAGAAAAGCGCUAAAUUCCUUAACUUGGGAUGCCUGUGUGUGCUCAGUUAUGUCCAACUCAUUUGUGGCCUGUAGCCCGCCAGGCUUCUCUGUCCUUGAGAUUUUCCAGGCAGUAAUACUGGAGUGGGUUGCCAUUUCCUUCUCUGGGAACUUGAGGUAUCUGGUUUUCUUUAAUUCACAAAAAUACUUUUGAUGUUCAGACUAGCUACCUUUUGUUGCGAACUUCUAUAUAAACUGACUCCCCCUGCCUGCCCCACCACCACCCCUACCCUCGCACACCACCCACCCACCCCACCCCAAACCGCCACCCUCUACCUCCUAAGAGCAGUUUUCUCAGGAUCCUUUGAGAUGCUGUGUUGUGGGCUUGAAGUUUUAAAAGUUCCCGCCCAAUAAAA